AUUGAACGCUGGCGGCAGGCCUAACACAUGCAAGUCGAGCGGAUGAAGGGAGCUUGCUCCUGGAUUCAGCGGCGGACGGGUGAGUAAUGCCUAGGAAUCUGCCUGGUAGUUGGGGAUAACGUCCGUAAACGGGCGCUAAUACCGCAUACGUCCUGAGGUAGAAAGUGGGGGAUCUUCGGACCUCACGCUAUCACAUGAGCCUAGGUCGGAUUAGCUAGUUGGUGGGGUAAAGGCCUACCAAGGCGACGAUCCGUAACUGGUCUGAGAGGAUGAUCAGUCACACUGGAACUGAGACACGGUCCAGACUCCUACGGGAGGCAGCAGUGGGGAAUAUUGGACAAUGGGCGAAAGCAUGAUCCAGCCAUGCCGCGUGUGUGAAGAAGGUCUUCGGAUUGUAAAGCACUUUAAGUUGGGAGGAAGGGAAGUAAGUUAAUACCUUGCUGUUUUGACGUUACCAACAGAAUAAGCACCGGCUAACUUCGUG
rnacentral:rRNA from 1 species